AGUGAACGCUGGCGGUAGGCCUAACACAUGCAAGUCGAACGGCAGCACAGUAAGAGCUUGCUCUUACGGGUGGCGAGUGGCGGACGGGUGAGGAAUACAUCGGAAUCUACUUUUUCGUGGGGGAUAACGUAGGGAAACUUACGCUAAUACCGCAUACGACCUACGGGUGAAGCAGGGGAUCUUCGGACCUUGCGCGAUUGAAUGAGCCGAUGUCGGAUUAGCUAGUUGGCGGGGUAAAGGCCCACCAAGGCGACGAUCCGUAGCUGGUCUGAGAGGAUGAUCAGCCACACUGGAACUGAGACACGGUCCAGACUCCUACGGGAGGCAGCAGUGGGGAAUAUUGGAAAAUGGGCGAAAGCCUGAUCCAGCCAUACCGCGUGGGUGAAGAAGGCCUUCGGGUUGUAAAGCCCUUUUGUUGGGAAAGAAAAGCAGCAGGUUAAUACCCCGCUGUUCUGACGGUACACAAAGAAUAAGCACCGGCUAACUGCG
rnacentral:rRNA from 1 species